GGUCCCUUAGUUCAAUGGAUAGAAUGCAAGAUUCCGGUUCUUGUGAUGGGGGUUCGAAUCCCUCAGGGAUCA
rnacentral:tRNA from 1 species